GGAGCGGCCGAUGGCAGAUUAGGUAGUUGGUGGGAUAAAAGCUUACCAAGCCGACGAUCUGUAGCUGGUCUGAGAGGACGACCAGCCACACUGGGACUGAGACACGGCCCAGACUCCUACGGGAGGCAGCAGUGGGGAAUUUUGGACAAUGGGCGAAAGCCUGAUCCAGCCAUGCCGCGUGCAGGAUGAAGGCCUUCGGGUUGUAAACUGCUUUUGUACGGAACGAAAAGACUCUUUCUAAUAAAGAGGGUCCAUGACGGUACCGUAAGAAUAAGCACCGGCUAACUACGUGCCAGCAGCCGCGGUAAUACGUAGGGUGCGAGCGUUAAU
rnacentral:rRNA from 1 species